rnacentral:rRNA from 1 species
GUUGGGUUAAGUCCCGCAACGAGCGCAACCCUCAUCCCUAGUUGCCAUCAUUCAGUUGGGCACUCUAAGGAAACUGCCGGUGAUAAGCCGGAGGAAGGUGGGGAUGACGUCAAGUCCUCAUGGCCCUUACGCGCUGGGCUACACACGUGCUACAAUGGCGGUGACAGUGGGCAGCAACCUCGCGAGAGGUAGCUAAUCUCCAAAAGCCGUCUCAGUUCGGAUUGUUCUCUGCAACUCGAGAGCAUGAAGGCGGAAUCGCUAGUAAUCGCGGAUCAGCAUGCCGCGGUGAAUACGUUCCCAGGCCUUGUACACACCGCCCGUCACACCAUGGGAGUUGGUUUCACCCGAAGGCAGUGCUCUAACCCGCAAGGGAGGAAGCUGACCACGGUGGGAUCAGCGACUGGGGUGAAGUCGUAACAAGGUAGCCGUAGGGGAACCUGCGGCUGGAUCACCUCCUUUCUGCGGCCGCU